rnacentral:tRNA from 1 species
GCUAAGGUGGUCUAAAGGCUUAGGACGACAGAAUGCAAGAGAUCCGGGUUCGACUCCCGGCCGAGGCA